ACAUCACAACGAGCUGAUCCAUCAUCAUGAUUAUUUUACUCCUAACUUUUCUUUCCUUCGUUGUCGUCGAAGACUCACUUUCUCUCGACCUCGACCACUUGCCACUUCCAACCCACUUCAAUGCUUUUGCAGAUCUGGUGCACGCGCCGUCGUUCGCUUAUCGACGUGUGGAGAGGCAGCUCGAGAAUGAGUUACGUUUGCAGAGCCUCUCUGACCGCGUGGCGGAGCUGGAGAUCUUGGGGCUAUUCAUUUUUGUGCAUAUUCGGUUUUAUUAUUUGCAAAAUAGGGACCGGCGAGUCACUGAUGGCGAAGGCGGCGAUGAACUCUCACGCGCCGGCACUCUACUUUGAUCUUAUUGUAUUUUCUGUAGCAUGGGUGGGGUCCUGUCUAGAAAAAGUAAUGUUGGUGGUGCUCAACUCAGUUGGCUGAGUCUAAUUCUUGGCAGUACUAUUCUUGGCAAUCUCCACAUUCUUUGAGUUAGUUUGUAUCAUCCUGUAUGCAAUCUACUUCACCAAAUUGUCCAUAGUGAAAUAUUACCAUUCAAAAGCAGCAUUAGAGGGAUAAAAAACUGUUGCAGCUAACCUUGCUGUUGUUGGCAUUCAAACAAAGACUGAUGAUCAAGUAAUAUAAUUAUGCUAAAACAAUAAUACUUUACUCAGGUGGAAAUAAUAUUUUAUUAUCUCCUAAAAGAUUUGGAACUUUUGUAGGGUGGAUAUGAUAGCAAAAAAGAAGAGCAGUUGAGCAACAAACAAUUAUUUGUUGAGAACCAUGAUUAUGUAGUUGGUUUAUUUUAUAUAUUUGUGGUAACACUGUCAAUCUUUCUUGGAUUUUUGUAUGAAAAUACUGGAACACAUCAGUUAGGCACAUGGUAAGUGCUUAAUUUAUGCUUAGUCUGUAAUCCAAUUGCCUUUUGACAUGACAUGAUAUAUAUUUUUAAUCUGUUUUCUGCACAGUUUUGGAGCAAACAUUUUCUACUUAAUGUUAUUAGAAUGUAGAUAUAACAUUCUCCAUCCCAAGGGGAAAAAA